rnacentral:rRNA from 1 species
UACGUAGGGUGCGAGCGUUAAUCGGAAUUACUGGGCGUAAAGCGUGCGCAGGCGGUUCGUUAAGUUCGAUGUGAAAGUCCCGGGCUCAACCUGGGAACUGCAUUGGAAACUGGCGAGCUUGAAUGCGGCAGAGGGGGGUGGAAUUCCGCGUGUAGCAGUGAAAUGCGUAGAGAUGCGGAGGAACACCGAUGGCGAAGGCAGCCCCCUGGGCCGACAUUGACGCUCAGGCACGAAAGCGUGGGGAGCAAACAGG